AGUGAACGCUGGCGGCGUGCCUAAUACAUGCAAGUCGAACGGAGUGGCGCUCGGGUGAGUAAUGUAUAGCUAAUCUCCCCUACACUAGAGGACAACAGUUGGAAACGGCUGCUAAUACUCCAUAGUGUAGGAUGAGGGUAUAUUGUAUCAACUAGUUGGUGAGUUAAUGGCUCACCAAGGCUAUGACGCAUAACUGGUCUGAGAGGAUGAUCAGUCACACCGGAACUGGGACACGGUACAGACUCCUACGUGAGGCAGCAGUAGGGAAUAUUGCACAAUGGGGGAAACCCUGAAGCAGCAACGAGGCGUGGAGGAUGACACUUUACGAAGCGUAAACUCCUUUUGUUAGAGAAGCGGUAACUAACGAAUAAGCACCGGCUAACUCCGUGCCAGCCGCCGCGGUAAUAC
rnacentral:rRNA from 1 species